GAUGAACGCUGGCGGCGUGCCUAAUACAUGCAAGUCGAGCGAACAGAUGAGGAGCUUGCUCCUCUGACGUUAGCGGCGGACGGGUGAGUAACACGUGGAUAACCUACCUAUAAGACUGGGAUAACUUCGGGAAACCGGAGCUAAUACCGGAUAAUAUAUUGAACCGCAUGGUUCAAUAGUGAAAGACGGUUUUGCUGUCACUUAUGGAUGGAUCCGCGCCGCAUUAGCUAGUUGGUAAGGUAACGGCUUACCAAGGCAACGAUGCGUAGCCGACCUGAGAGGGUGAUCGGCCACACGGGAACUGAGACACGGUCCAGACUCCUACGGGAGGCAGCAGUAGGGAAUCUGCCGCAAUGGGCGAAAGCCUGACGGAGCAACGCCGCGUGAGUGAUGAAGGUCUUCGGAUCGUAAAACUCUGUUAUUAGUGAAGAACAAAUGUGUAAGUAACUAUGCACGUCUUGACGGUACCUAAUCAGAAAGCCACGGCUAACUACGUG
rnacentral:rRNA from 1 species